rnacentral:lncRNA from 1 species
CUCUGUGCCUGCUGCCAUCCACGUAAGAUGUGACUUGCUCCUCCUUGCCUUCCGUCAUGAUUGUGAGGCGCUCCCAGCCAUGUGGAACUGACGAAACACUGGAACUCUCCAGAAUAAAUUGGUACCUGGGUCUCUUCUGAAGUGAGCUGCUCUUAGGAGCUUCAAAUGAGGGUCUUUGAAGCCACAUGAAAAUUGAUGAGUGGUUGUAACAUCCAAGCUACCAAAUCAGACACACUUGUAAUUGUUCCCAAUAGUUUCUUAGCAGGCAUUUUGGAGGAAAAGAUUUGGAUCAGAAAUUCAGAAAUUACCUGGGCUCACAAAUAUAUGCCCCUCCAGCACCAUCCUGCAUUCUGCUUCCAAGAUACAUGAGCUUUCUGAAGAGCUGGUGAGAAUGCUGAAACUUCCUGGCCUUGGUUUCCCAUCUGGUAAAAUGAGGAAGACCAAAGCUUAACUCUCACAAGGAAUAUGCAGAUGGAGUCUCACUCUGUCGCCCAUGCUGGAGUAAAGUGGUGUGAUCUCGGCUCACUGCAACCUCUGCCUCCCAGCAGGGAGAAGUCUAAGAGACAAAAUCAAUAAGGCUAGAGAAGAUUGGCUUUCUCUGGAUACUGUACCUUAUCCAUGUGAACAGGAGAUUUUAUAGUGACUUGUUUCAGUAUAAACAAAGAGGACUGGAAUAACUGAUUGCUGAGGACUCCAAUCAUGGCAGCACUGUAUGAUAUGAAUGUAAAAUAAGCAUGACUGACUGCAACAAGAAGGCAGCCUGAAUCUACCUGAAGAAUCCUCAGGCCAUCCGAUUUGAUGAUAUAGUCAGUAGGAUUGUUUGGUUUGCUAGUAACAUAAAUUCAAAGCUUCAGGAAGGAGACUGGGCACAGCGGCUCAUGCCUGUAAUCCCAGCACUUUGGGAGGCCAAGGCGAGUGGAUCAUUUGAGGCCAGCAGUUCUAGACCAGCCUGGCCAAUAUGGUGAAACGCCGUCUCUACUAAAAAUACAAAAAUCAGCUGGGCAUGGUGGCACAUGCUUAUAAUCCCAUCUACUCAGGAGGCUGAGGCAUAAGAAUCGCUUGAACCCAAGAGGUGGAGGUUGCAGUGAGCCAAGAUUGUGCCACUAUACUCCAGCCUGGGUGACAGAGCAAGACUCUGUCUCAAACAAAACAAAACAAAACAAAACAAAACAAAACAAAAACAACAAAACACACACACACAAACACCAAAGCUUCAGGAAAAAAAAGGCAGACUAAAUUAUAUGGUAAGUAGGCUGUUUCAUUGAACUGAAAUGCAAAAGUAAACCGGAGAUGUAAGUUGUCACAAGA